UACGGGGGGGCAAGCGUUGUUCGGAAUUACUGGGCGUAAAGGGUUCGUAGGUGGCCAACUAAGUCAGACGUGAAAUCCCUCAGCUUAACUGGGGAACUGCGUCUGAUACUGAUUGGCUUGAGUGCAGGAGAGGAACGCGGAAUUCCAGGUGUAGCGGUGAAAUGCGUAGAUAUCUGGAGGAACACCGGUGGCGAAGGCGGCGUUCUGGACUGCAACUGACACUGAUGAACGAAAGCCAGGGGAGCAAACGGG
rnacentral:rRNA from 1 species